rnacentral:rRNA from 1 species
UACGUAGGGACCAAGCGUUGUUCGGAUUUACUGGGCGUAAAGGGCGCGUAGGCGGCAAUUCAAGUCAUCUGUGAAAUCUCCGGGCUUAACUCGGAACGGUUAGAUGAUACUGCUUUGCUAGAGUGCGGAAGGGGCAAUCGGAAUUCUUGGUGUAGCGGUGAAAUGCGUAGAUAUCAAGAGGAACACCUGAGGUGAAGACGGGUUGCUGGGCCGACACUGACGCUGAUAGCGCGAAAGCCAGGGGAGCAAACAGG